ACACUCUACUCUGUCAAAUGGAUAUUUAGCUGUGCUGUUUUUCAACAACUCUGCAUGAGCUACAAUAAGAGCUGGAUUGACUCUUACCUUCUUUGCUAUUCGCUUUUCGCUUGAUUUACAAUUUGCUGUGUGGGGGAAGUCACAUUCAAUGUCAAGUCACUGCUCUCUGCGGAAGCCUUAUGAGAUCAUCCGGGGAUAUCGCCAUAUUGAAAACCCGCCAGAGGUUCGGUCCACGUCCAUGGUGCUCGGGAUGAGUCAUUGGAGGACGAAGAUCGGGUGUCCUUAUGAUUCCAUGAAAUAUCGUUUUUAUGAUGUCCAAUUAUGUUCAAAAAUAAACAACUUGGAGAAUGUG